rnacentral:rRNA from 1 species
CUCGGGCUGACCGCGAUCGAACGGGCAAGAAAGCGCUAGGCCUCGCGGGCCACAUAGCUCCGGGCUGGUGAUGCAAAGACGACAUUCUUCCAUGCCAAGAUCAACUCGAGGCGGCAGAAAAAUUUCAUUCAUGCCCUACACACCCACAACUCUAUGGCCACAUCCCAAGAAGACAAGGCGCGGGUGAUCCAUGAACACUUCAGCUCCACGCUCGGGAAGACCACUAGAAGAGACCUCACCAUUGACUGGGACUCAAUCAACCUGCCCAUGCUACACUCGAUUGGCCUCGACAACCCAUUCAAGGAGGAAGAGGUAUGGAAUGCAAUCAACAAGUCCCCACAGGAGAAAUCGUUGGGGCCGGACGGCUUCAACGACACCUUCUUCUGUGCCUGCUGGCCUGUCAUCAAAGCCGAUGUUAUGGAGGCGUUCCACCGAUUCUACCACUCAGCAGGGGGCGACAUGGCAAUGAUCAACAACGCGAUGAUUGUUCUGAUGCCAAAGAAGGAUGGGGCAUCGACGAUCACAGACUACAAACCAAUCAGCCUAAUACACUCGGUUGCAAAAGCUCAUCUCCAAGGUCCUCUCCAUCAUAUUAGCAGCUGUCAUCCACUCCAUUGUCUCCCCGGCACAGACAGCCUUCCUGAAAACAAAGUACAUCCAUGA